rnacentral:tRNA from 1 species
GGUGAAGUGUCUGAGAGGUUGAAAGUACAUGCUUGGAAAGCAUGAAUACGUUAAAUAGCGUAUCGAGGGUUCGAAUCCCUCCUUCACCG